CGCUCCCUGCGCUGUUCGUGUGAGCCUAAUGCCGGUUAUUUGAGCCAACACCGACCGAAAAGGGAGCUCGGGGUCUCGUCGGCGCGCACACGCCUCAAGGGCGUCGCCCUUCGUGGACGUGCAAGUCCGAUGAGCAGGGCACCCACCUGCGAGAGAGCAGGUUCAAAACGGGGGCUUCACGGCAGAAGCGGGGUUUCC
rnacentral:other from 1 species